rnacentral:lncRNA from 1 species
UUUGAAUGAAUGCAAUUUGAAAUCUCAUUUUGAGAUUUUCCCCUUAAUUUGCAAUUCUUGUGAUAGAAUGCAUGCGAAGCAUUCAAUCUAACCUUGAUCAAGUUCGAUUGUGAAGUGACUCAAUUUAGAACAAGACUUCCAAAUCUUACCUCUGGAUCUUUGAUCUAAGAGGUAAUCUAAUCCUAACUUUCUUUUGGUUGAUCUAAAUUAGUAUAAGGAGGUGUUGGUUUCUUAUUUCAAAGGUUAUUGCUAUGUUAAAAGCUUGGAUCUUUGGAUUGAGGAUUAUGAUUGCCUUAUCAAUUUUUCAGGUGAAUUUGAGUAAGGUGCACUUCCAAAGGACUACAUAACUCGUUUUGUGAAAUUUUCCUUUGCAAAUUUGAGGUAAUAAAGUUAACACAAUUUAGAGCAGCUUUAUAGAAGGAAGUUUUGUCAAAAGUGUUAUGGAUUUAAGUUAUGAUUUUACAAAGUUGGAUCAUGAUUCUUGAAAUAAAAUAGUGUUCUGGAUAGUGGUCGAGAGACUUGCAUGUGUAGGCAAGAUGGGCGUGUGUUUUGGGUUUAGAGGUAAUUUUGAUCAGGUUACACGUUCAUGACAAGGCCAUGGAACAGCCAAGCGGCAAGACACGUUCAUGACAAGGCCAUGGAACAGCCAAGCGACAAGACAUGCGCUCAGGCUACGUGCAUGACCUUGCUUUAGAGGUUAGCACACACGGUUUGUCGAGAGCACAACAUGCGAAAGGCACGCGAUGGGCGUGCUAGGUAGGCGACAAGGACGCAUAUGGCAGCCCCAUUGAGAGGUUAGCAUGUGGCAAGGCUCCAAACCAUGUACGCGCAGCCAGCCUCAUCCACCAUGUCAUUGGGCUCCGAUGGGCUAUUUUCGAGUUAUAAUGUUAUUUUAAAGAAAUUUAAGGUAAGCUUUGGAUAUUUUUAUGUUGAAGGGCUUAAUUAAGUAUUAAAUAUGAAAAUUUCAGAUCAAGGAAGCUUGAGAGAAAUUUCCCAACAAAGGCUCUAUUCAAAUGACAAUGAGUAACACAUUGAUUUCCAAAACAUGUAUUCAACCUUUACAAGCAAUAGCUUGGGAAAUGAUUUACUAAUCAUGAUUUCAAGUAAUAUCUUAUGAUAAAUGUUUAUGAACCAAUAUUUUAAGUUAUAUUAUGUUUGAAUGAUUUCAGGAUCAUGUUCAAGAGGAUGUUUCCAUGUUUUCAAAUGUUUUCUCCAUGCUCGAAUAUUCCAUGCUCGAAAAUUCCAUGAGACCUAUUUUAUACAUGUGGUUAACUUCGUACUCAUGGUAAGGUUGACGAACCUAUAGUUUAUUGGACAUCAAGAAGGAUAUAUUUUAUGCCUUAAAAGAAGAGGGUUAGCUACUCAAUGACUGUUCUAUCUUUGGAUGAAGGGGUAAAUACUGCUCGUGGCUAUGGACGAUUGUCUUCGAAAAACUAUGCAAAUAUUUCAAGUUUCAUGUUAUGGCUGUUUAGUGAUAAAUGUAUCUAAGCUUCGGUUUUAUACAAAAAUGUUUAUGAAAACCUGUUUUAUAAAACUGUAGUUGACUAAACUCUUUCGACUUACUCUUUCAAAAUGUUUUUCCUCUUUCCAGAUACAGAUUGGAUCUCUGUAUGCUAAACUUACUACUGUUAGGCCAACUUAGUUAUCGUUAUGCAAGGACAUUGUUUUGUUUAAAAUAGUAUUCUGAUUGUUCAAAUAUUUAUAUCUUCGUGUUUUAUUUAUUUUCCAUGAUACGUUUUAAAACUAUUUCCUAUGGGUUGUAUUACAGAUUUCAAAGUAUAAUUUAACCGUUGAUUUUAAAUGAAAGACUUCCACUAUUUAAAAGUUUUGCAAGUGUUGAUGUCAUGUAUCAGUUGAAGUUGUUUUGAAGGUGAAUGACUUCGAUGAACUUCACAUCGAGUCUUAGACUGAGUAAGCAGGUGCCUGGAGCUGGGUGACACGCUCAGUCCCACAACACUUAGGAAUGAGAGUAAUUGCAAUAACAUUAAUACCAUGAGAUAAAUAGCAAGUCUCGAAGAAAUAGAAAACAACAUCACAUAAAUCCUCCCUAACCACAUUCCAGGCACAUUUGAAGUGUAAUUUAGAAUUCAGAAACGUAUAUGUCUUAUUCUCAUUGAGUCAAAGCAAUGUUACAUAUUUAUAUAGAGAAUAAACUAAACCCUAGAGACUAAGUAAAAUUACAAUAAAGGACAUAUGUAUAUAUAUAUAUCAUAACACUCCCCCUCAAGCUGGAGCAAAUAUGUCGAUCAUGCCCAGCUUGUUGCACAGAUAGCUUAUCCUUGUUCCAUUUAAAGCUUUAGUUAGAAUAUCUCCCAAUUGUUCUCCGGUCUUCACAUAUCCUGUGGACACCAACCCAUCUUGGAUUUUCUCACGAAUGAAGUGACAAUCCACCUCAAUAUGUUUAGUUCUUUCAUGAAAUACUGGAUUAGAUGCAAUAUGAAGUGCAGCUUGAUUAUCACACCAUAAUUUAGCUAGCACGGUAAUACUGAAGCCUAUCUCAGAUAAUAGUUGGUGAAUCCAUACUAUUUCACACACAGAUUGUGCCAUAGCUCUAUAUUCUGACUCAGCACUCGAACGAGAAACAACAUUUUGUUUCUUACUCUUCCAUGAAACUAAGUUUCCACCUACAAAAACACAAUAUCCAGAAGUCGAUCUCCUAUCCUCACGAGACCCCGCCCAAUCAGCAUCAGAAAAACAUUCAACUCUCGUAUGUCCAUGAUCUUUGUAUAGGAU